GACGGAAGGUGCAAGCGUUGCUCGGAAUCACUGGGCGUAAAGGGUGCGUAGGCGGCCGUGCAAGUCUGGCGUGAAAGCCCCGGGCUCAGCCCGGGAAGUGCGCUCGAAACUGCGCGGCUCGAGUGCCGGAGGGGAGAGUGGAAUUCCCGGUGUAGCGGUGAAAUGCGCAGAUAUCAGGAGGAACACCGAUGGCGAAGGCGGUUCUCUGGACAGUUCCUGACACUGAGGCACGAAGGCCAGGGGAGCAAACGGG
rnacentral:rRNA from 1 species